rnacentral:rRNA from 1 species
GGCGGGGGCACGGGGGGCUCCUACGGGAGGCAGCAGUAGGGAAUAUUGGACAAUGGGCGCAAGCCUGAUCCAGCCAUGCCGCGUGAGUGAAGAAGGCCCUCGGGUUGUAAAGCUCUUUUGUUGGGGAAGAAAAGCAGUUGGUUAAUACCCGAUUGUUCUGACGGUACCCAAAGAAUAAGCACCGGC